AGAGUUUGAUCCUGGCUCAGGACGAACGCUGGCGGCGUGCUUAACACAUGCAAGUCAAGGGGGCCCAGCAAUGGGCAACCGGCGAACGGGUGCGUAACACGUGAGCAACCUACCGAACUGUGGGGGAUAGCCGGCCUAACGGCCGAGUAAUACCGCAUACGCUUUCGAUGAGGCAUUUCAUUGAAAGGAAACCUACGGGACAGAUCGAGGGGCUCGCGGCCUAUCAGCUAGUUGGCGAGGUAACGGCUCACCAAGGCGACGACGGGUAGCUGGUCUGAGAGGAUGGCCAGCCACAUUGGGACUGAGAUACGGCCCAGACUCCUACGGGAGGCAGCAGUGGGGAAUCUUGCGCAAUGGCCUAACGGCUGACGCAGCGACGCCGCGUGUGGGAUGAAGCUCCUCGGAGUGUAAACCACUGUUGCCCGGGACGAAUAGCUCGAUUAAUCGAGCCUGACGGUACCGGGUGAGGAAGCACCGGCUAACUCCGUGCCAGCAGCCGCGGUACGC
rnacentral:rRNA from 1 species